GACGAACGCUGGCGGCGUGCCUAAUACAUGCAAGUAGAACGCACAGUUUAUACCGUAGCUUGCUACACCAUAGCCUGUGAGUUGCGAACGGGUGAGUAACGCGUAGGUAACCUGCCUGGUAGCGGGGGAUAACUAUUGGAAACGAUAGCUAAUACCGCAUAAUAUUGAUUAUUGCAUGAUACUUGAUUGAAAGAUGCUAUUGCAUCACUACCAGAUGGUCCUGCGUUGUAUUAGCUAGUAGGUGAGGUAACGGCUCACCUAGGCGACGAUACAUAGCCGAGCUGGGAGGGUGAACGGCCAAACUGGGACUGGGACACGGCCCAGAAUCCUACGGGAGGCAGCAGGAGGGGAACUUCGGAAAAGGACGAAAGGCUGACCGAGCAAAGCCGCGGGAGGGAAGAAGGGUCUCGGAUCGGAAAGCUCUGUUGUAAGAGAAGAAAGGGUGUGAGAGUGGAAAGUUCACACUGUGACGGUAUCUUACCAGAAAGGGACGGCUAACUACGUG
rnacentral:rRNA from 1 species